AUGGAGCAAGUAGCAGACAGAGAAAUCAACGACCAAACUUUAAAUUCAGCAGAUCCAUGUCCAUCCAAUCUCAUCCUUCAUCGCAUAGUAAAUCCUCACGGAGCAAGCAACAGACAGGAUUCACUAGCUGCAGUCAACAUGCGUCAAACUCACAAUGGACGAGAUCCAAACAAUAAAAGCAAUAUGUCGAGUGAUCAAACGAUCCAAAGACCUGGCCAAGCAACCUCCAAACUAGCGAUGGUAGAAUCUAAUGAUAGUCAACCUGCAGACAUCAUUAGAGCGACAAUGAAUGAUGCUGCACGAAAAAGGAAAGAUAUACUCCAGCAGAAAAGGAAAGUCAUUUCUAUGGAAAUCAAUCACGACAAAAUUAAGGUCCAAAGGAAAGAUAGUUCUAGUAGUAGCAUCAGUGGUAUAGCAACACUUCUUUUACACGGUGGAAGAACAGCUCAUUUAAGAUUCCACAUACCGCUGAAGAUCACUUGCCAGUCCACAUGCAACAUCAAGCAAGGAACAUUUCUUGAAGAGCAACAACAGAUGAAGAAGACUAGGGCCUUGCAAUGGGACAAGACUAACAAUAACACUGCUAGGAAACUCCGCUCGAGCGUGGGAGGAGAUCGUGAGGGCACAGAUGCGAGCGACGGCCGGAUGACCGGCGCUCUCGCCAGCACUAAGAGCGGUUCGCGAGGAAGGAGUUUGCGAGGGCACUAA
rnacentral:rRNA from 1 species